GCAGGGAUAGCUCAAGUGGUAGAGUGCAUGCCUAGCAUGCAAGAGGCCCUGGGUUCAAUCCUCAGUACCUUCA
rnacentral:tRNA from 1 species